AAAGAUCAGGCAGUUCAGGGAGAGUCGAAGGAAGGAAGGCAGGCAGCUUUGCAUGACAUUCUUCUGGACGUGUUUCAUUGUGAUGAUAGUGAGAGUGAGUCAAUCUGUUUGUUGGAAAGACAGUAGUUGAGUGAUUACUGAGAGAAAAUUAUUAAAAGAGAUAAUUAUUCAGUGUUGUUACUUUAAAGUGUUGUUACUGACCUUUUUCUCUUUUAUUUUCUUUACCUCACCUGUAACUGCUGAGAUCCUGAGGAACAUGCACACUGGACUGACCUGCUCUGGCAACCUGAUUUCCACUCUCCAUCCAUCACCAUUCUCUGUUCCUGCAGGUCCUGCUUGCUAAUCAAUGCUCAUACUUUUUUACACAAUUACAAAUAAAGUCAAUGUAUUGUAUGACAUGAAGUUGUGCUUCAUUCUGAGUCAAUAAUAAAUUCAUUCUGCCUUCAA